GAUGAACGCUGGCGGCGUGCUUAACACAUGCAAGUCGAACGAGGAAGCCCAGCUUGCUGGGUGGAUUAGUGGCGAACGGGUGAGUAACACGUGAGUAACCUGCCCUUAACUCUGGGAUAAGCCUGGGAAACUGGGUCUAAUACCGGAUAGGAGCGUCCACCGCAUGGUGGGUGUUGGAAAGAUUUAUCGGUUUUGGAUGGACUCGCGGCCUAUCAGCUUGUUGGUGAGGUAAUGGCUCACCAAGGCGACGACGGGUAGCCGGCCUGAGAGGGUGACCGGCCACACUGGGACUGAGACACGGCCCAGACUCCUACGGGAGGCAGCAGUGGGGAAUAUUGCACAAUGGGCGCAAGCCUGAUGCAGCGACGCCGCGUGAGGGAUGACGGCCUUCGGGUUGUAAACCUCUUUCAGUAGGGAAGAAGCGAAAGUGACGGUACCUGCAGAAGAAGCACCGGCUAACUACGUG
rnacentral:rRNA from 1 species